UAGCUAGUUGGUGAGGUAAUGGCCCACCAAGGCGACGAUCGGUAGCCGGACUGAGAGGUUGAACGGCCACAUUGGGACUGAGACACGGCCCAGACUCCUACGGGAGGCAGCAGUGGGGAAUAUUGCACAAUGGGGGAAACCCUGAUGCAGCGACGCCGCGUGGAGGAAGAAGGUCUUCGGAUUGUAAACUCCUGUUGUUGAGGAAGAUAAUGACGGUACUCAACAAGGAAGUGACGGCUAACUACGUGCCAGCAGCCGCGGUAAAACGUAGGUCACAAGCGUUGUCCGGAAUUACUGGGUGUAAAGGGAGCGCAGGCGGGCGAUCAAGUUGGAAGUGAAAUCCAUGGGCUCAACCCAUGAACUGCUUUCAAAACUGAUUGUCUUGAGUAGUGCAGAGGUAGGCGGAAUUCCCGGUGUAGCGGUGGAAUGCGUAGAUACCGGGAGGAACACCAGUGGCGAAGGCGGCCUACUGGGCACCAACUGACGCUGAGGCUCGAAAGUGUGGGUAGCAAACAGGAUUAGAUACCCUGGUAGUCCACACCGUAAACGAUGAUUACUAGGUGUUGGAGGAUUGACCCUUUCAGUGCCGCAGUUAACACAAUAAGUAAUCCACCUGGGGAGUACGACCGCAAGGUUGAAACUCAAAGGAAUUGACGGGGGCCCGCACAAGCAGUGGAGUAUGUGGUUUAAUUCGACGCAACGCGAAGAACCUUACCAAGUCUUGACAUCCUGCGACGAUGCUAGAAAUAGUAUUUUCCUUCGGGACGCAGAGACAGGUGGUGCAUGGUUGUCGUCAGCUCGUGUCGUGAGAUGUUGGGUUAAGUCCCGCAACGAGCGCAACCCUUAUGGUCAGUUACUACGCAAGAGGACUCUGGCCAGACUGCCGUUGACAAAACGGAGGAAGGUGGGGAUGACGUCAAAUCAUCAUGCCCUUUAUGACUUGGGCUACACACGUACUACAAUGGCGUUAAACAAAGAGAAGCAAGACCGCGAGGUGGAGCAAAACUCAGGAACAACGUCCCAGUUCGGACUGCAGGCUGCAACUCGCCUGCACGAAGUCGGAAUUGCUAGUAAUCGCAGAUCAGCAUGCUGCGGUGAAUACGUUCCCGGGCCUUGUACACACCGCCCGUCACACCAUGAGAGCCGGGGGGACCCGAAGUCGGUAGUCUAACCGCAAGGAGGACGCCGCCGAAGGUAAAACUGGUGAUUGGGGUGAAGUCGUAACAAGGUAA
rnacentral:rRNA from 1 species